UAUAUAUAUAUAUAUGUAUAUUCAGCAAAAUGAAAAAUUGUGAUACAUAUACUGACAAAACAAUUAGAUUUUUAACUUCUGAAGAACUUACCACCAACUUCAUUUUUAAUGAGAAGAAUAACUUUGAUGAUAAAUAUUUUUACCAAAAAAAUAAUUUCAAUGCUAAGUUCAUGCAAUGGAGUAAAUUGAAAACAGUUAAGGAGUUUCCAUCGUUCGAAUUUAAUGAGGUUGAUGAUAUUUCCGUUACAAUACGUCACAGUUCAGCACCAUCACUUCCAGUUUUUCAUUCUUCAAACUUCAUUAUUUGUCCCAAUGGUACAACUUCAUCAACAACUAUAUUUAGCAAAGAAAUUUCUCGCCCUUCUACCAAUUAUAAUAAAGAGCAUUUUUUAAGUACUCAAAGAGAACCCUUUUCUACUUCAAGAAUGGAACAUAAUAUGUUCAGAAAAGAGGAAGAUAAGAUUCAUAAUAACCCAAGAGCUAUAGUUUUAGAUGUUGGAGGUCGAAGACACAAAGUUCUAGAGUCAAACUUUUGCACUUUUCCAAAUACUAGACUUGGAAAAUUGGUAAGAGCCAAAACUGAAAUAGAUAUACUUAAAUUAUGUGAUGGAUACUUACCAGGAAAAAUAAAUGAAUUUUAUUUUGAUCGAAAUUGGCACAGUUUUAAUAGUAUUUUGGAUAUAUAUAGAACUGGAGUCCUUCAUUUAAAUACAGAUAUGUGUGCUCUGGUCUUACAAAAAGAUCUUGACUAUUGGCAAAUCGAUGAAUUGAUACUAGAACCAUGUUGUGCCCUGAAAUAUUAUCCAGAGAUUGAAAUCUGCGUAAAAGAACAAAAAGGUGAACAACAAGCUAAGAAGAAAGAAGCUCAGAGAUUAGAAGAUGAAAAUUUUGGCUUAAGCCUUAUUGGAAAGUUACGAACUUUUUUAUGGAAUCUUAUGGAAUAUCCAGAAACAUCUAAAUAUGCACAGAUUAUGGCUUUUACAUCUUUGGGAAUUGUUUUGAUAUCAACUUUUACAUUUGUAUUGGGAACAUUUCCAGAGCUUCAAAGAGAGGAAGAAACUGGAUUUCCAUCGGAUUUUCCAUGGGCUGUUUUUCUUAUGAACAUUGUGGACAAUAUAGCUAUUUGUUUUUUCAUUAUUGAAUAUCUAAUUCGCUUCAUAUGCGCUCCAAGAAAGCUACAGUUUUUUAUCUGUCCAAUGAAUAUUGUAGAUCUUUUCGCAAUACUUCCAUUCUUUUUAGAUCUCUUAAUUGGAGGCCUACAGGAUUUUCAUAUAAUGGGGAAAGCUGGAAAGAUUGUACGCCUUGUUCGAGUCAUGAGAAUUAUGAGAAUAUUCAAAUUGGUUCGUCAUUUUGCAGGUCUCCAGUCACUAAUUUACACAUUAAAUCAAGCCUACAAGGAACUUGGACUUUUAAUGUUACUCGUGGGCGUUGCAGUUCUAACAUUCAGUAGUCUUGUGUAUUUUGCAGAGAAAGAUAACCCUCUUGGAGCAUGGUCUUUUUUAGAUUCGUUUUGGUGGGGAUUGAUGACUUUAACUACUGUGGGAUAUGGAGAUUUAAGUCCAUCAACUUUUCCUGGAAAAUUAAUAGGUGGUUUAUGUGCAUUAGGAGGAAUUUUUAUUCUUACCCUUCCAAUUCCAAUAGUGGUUAAUAGUUUUGCAAGUUACUACAAAAAUAGAUUAUGGAGGAAUGAGGUGGCCUAUAAAAAACGACAGAGAGCAAAAAAAAGACGAGAAAUGGAAACUUUAAUGAGGGAUAAUCUUCUCAACAUUCUUACUGUUCCAGGAUCCCCCAUUAACUGUACCAUCGCUGGAGAAGAAGGAAAAUAAUUAAAGGAAGUAUUGUCAUAAGGCUACGUAUUAUCUGCAGAAUCUAUCGCUCAUGGAUUCCAUAAAUAAUUAUCUAAAUUGGAUUGAAAAUUUUCCAAAUUCAACCGAAUCCGUCUAGCUAAUGCUAUUUAAAAAAUAUAGCUUGAGAUGUAAAAAAGAUCGAAAUGCAGGGGGUCGUAAAAGCAUGCAGGAAAAGAUGUCACAAAAAGUUUGGUUACAUAGAAAGACGAUAUAUCUGCUUAUAAAGAUAAUUAUAAUGCUUCUUGUUGGCUAACAAAGAUCACUAUAGACUGUAGUAGCCCGUGCUCGCUGAUUCGAUAUAAAUUUCAAAAUAGUGAUGAAUAAUUAACAUAAUAACUUACAAGCAUAUACCCUUUUUUUAAAUAUACGCUCAACGAAAUUUAGCCAAUACUUUAACUUAUAACUUCUUUUUUUAACUUUAUUUUUCAACUUUUAACUCUUAUAACAUCCACUUUGGAUAGUGUUACAUUUAAUUAUUUGUUCUAAAGUACUGCUGAAGAAAAUCAGAGAAAGUAUUUAAAACCUUAUAAUCACCUUAUACCUCUCAUGUCUUUAUCUCAUGAAUAAUUAAAAUACGAGUAUCUACUACAAUCCCAUUCUCUAAAGAAGUUUUAUUUUUUUAAAUAUGCAUUUUUUCACUUAAAAAAACGCUUUUCAAAAAAGUUUAAGAUAAAUGCAAAUUAAAAAUAUAUCAGCAAAAGAAAAGUCCAGGCUAUACGUGGUAAAAAAAGAAAGUAUUAAUAGUUUCUAGGGGUAAACGAUUUAUGACUUUUAAAAUACCCCUCUAAAAUAGUAAUUUUUAUUAUAAAUAUUUUUACUAUUGUUCCAUAUUUUUAGGUAAGAAGGAUAUUACCUUCAUAAAAUUGUAAAAAUUAAAAAGAACUGUGCAACACCAAGAAAUUGCUCAAUAUCGAUUAAAACUUUUAUUUCUUACAUUUAUUAUGAAAAGAAACAUUUUGUGUCUUAUCUCCCCAACAUUUCCAACAAAAAAAAAAUGAAGAACCAGUAGUAUAUAUAUGUAUUAUAUCUAGUACCGGGUGGAAACUUGUAACUUACACAUUUUGAAAAAAUAGGAAUUAGCCUGCCAUUCCUUAAUUAUACAUUUAACAAAAAUCUUCAUUUAUCAUUUUCUGAUACAUAGCCAAUGUCAAAUUUAUUUAUUGGCCUCACAGAUGGUGACAAGCCUCAUGCCAAAAGAGUUGCAUGUAAAGCGAAUGAACUUUGGGUUAAUGGCAGCCCAUUCCUCAUCGACGGAAGCCUUCAUAGCUUUAGUGUUCGGGUGGUAGAUGAUACAGGCCCUCCUGUUAAUGUGCAGCCUGAGAGAAAUGUCGAGAGGAUUAACAUCCGGGCAACAUUAUAUUGUCCCCGAAAGCGAUGUUGUUAGCUUAGAAGAUCUGAGUAAUUUUCAUAGAUUGAGCGGGAUCCCCACCUUGCUUAGAGACCACAUUACCAUCGGGAGAAAUUAGCCUGGACUCAGGGGAGUAAGUUGGCCUUGAAAACGUGAGCCUGUAACCUCGUGGGAACCAGAUCAGAGGCACCACAAUGUAGUUGAGGGCAAAAAUGUUUUUUUUUUUUUUUUUUUUACAGAGACCUCCUUCCUCUCUAUAGUCUCGUUGUGUUCUAACUUCUUUUAACAUUGUAGAUGGUCUUAGCAGCCAUUCCCGAUAGGCUGGCUAUAUAUGUUGAAGUGUGAUCCCAACGGAGAAGAGUUGAUUCCCUAAGCCAUGAAUCUUGCUGAGAUGACAUUUAUCGUUCAAUUAAAACAAAUCGAAAAAGCAGCAGGUACUUGAGAUACAUGGCCACCUAUACAAUUACAGGCAGUUCUAAUUUCAUCGCAAUGAGCUUGUCAAAUCAAUAUAUAACCAGUGUUUAAGUUUCAAGUUCCCACCCGGUAUGCAUACAUACAAUAAUGAAAAAAUUCCUUCCGCCCUAAGUUGCCCUUAGUGCUCUAAGAAUAAAAAAACUUAUUCCUUCGAACAAGAUAUCACCUGAACGAAAAAAUUCAUAUUGGUCCAGUUGAACUAACCCAAAAAAAAUAAAAACUUUAGACUCCAUAUGGGCUGAUGUGGGGCACUCUUGGAAUUCAGUUUUACCAUUGGUUCUUCCUUUAUUGGACAUACAAUAAGCCCUAAAUGAUAAUAACAGUUUACACAGAAGAACUCUACUAAUCUUAACUACUCACCAAAUAAUCUUUGAAAUUUAAAACUUUGUAAUGAUGUAUGAAAUUAUUCUUAUUCCACCCUAUCUUGAACAUUCAAACGUCAUCUGUAAGCAAGUAGCACUAUAGUUACCUAUGUCAGUAGAUAUGUUGUUUCUUCAAGUUACCAUAUUUUUUGUGAAAUCAUCUCAUGCGUGGUUUUUACCCUCACCUGUCUUUCGACCUUUUUUUACAUCUCAGAUUAUACUUUCUAACUAAAUGUAUUUGUUAGACGUGUUUUGUUGAAUUCGUGUAAUAUCAAUUCAAUUUAAACCAUAUAUAUAUAUAUGGGAGGCAAAACUCUGCCCAUGCUUUUCAUAGCUUGGAUUUUUACAUUUUUUGCAUCUCUAUUGUGAGUUGUAAAAAAUAUGACCUCAAACGAGCAUGAUACUUUAAGUAAUAGCAACUUGAAAAUAUUUUUUUUAAUUUCCAAAGCUGUUAUCAUUGUUAUUUAUUUUUUGGGAAGGCCAUAAGGUGCGUGUAUUCACAAAUGACGGAGAGGAACACUAAUGAUUUGUUAGCCUCUCGUAGCUGCUUGCAGCUAAUAAAAUAAAACGUCAUGGCAGCUAAUCUCAUCUCCUUCAAAACAUUUUUGUUCUUACAUAGUGGUAGGUCAUAUUUAUUACAACUCCAACUCUGACACUAAUCCUUUACUCAUUUUAAAUAUUGUAAAUAGAUAUUAUGUUAAAAAUAUUUUAAAAAAAUAUUAAGAUACCACAAAAGUUACUUGUGUCGAUUGUAAGAUCUGUUAUGAUAAAAAAUUGUUUAAAAAAAUUAUUCAACAAUCUCAUACAUCAAUUUUGAAGCAACUGUAAUUUCAAUAGUAAAACUUAAAUAUAUAAAGUUUUUAGUC
rnacentral:misc_RNA from 1 species